ACCAUUCUUUUGUUGGGUUUGUGCUACUGUCCAAUGAGCACAUAGUGAGGGCAGUACUGCUAACACCUACCAAAAAAAAGAAAAGCAAAGAUAAACAUGAAAAA
rnacentral:snRNA from 1 species